rnacentral:lncRNA from 1 species
GGUCUGCCUCUUGGCCCUACCAUUAGGGUAGAAGAACGGAUGUACCAUGUCCGCCACCAACCUCACCCACUCAAAGAAGCAGGGAUGGCCAGGUUCCAACAGCCUGAGUGGCUGCCACCUGAUGGCUGAUGGAGCAGAGGCGUGAGGAAAAGCUGAUGGCACUGCUUUGUAGUGCCAUUCUUUGUCUCUCUUCAUCUUUUUCAGUUAAAGUCUGUUUUAUCAGAGACUAGGAUUGCAAACCCUGCUUUUUUUUGCUUUCCAUUUGCUUGGUAAAUGUUCCUCCAUCCCUUUAUUUUAAACCUAUGUGUGUCUUUGCGCAUGAGAUGGGUCUCCUGAAUACAGGACACCAAUGGGUCUUUACUCUUUAUCCAACUUGCCAGUCUGUGUCUUUUAACUGGGGCAUUUAGCCCAUUUACAUUUAAGUUUAGUAUUGUUACACGUGAAAUUUAUCCUGUCAUGAUGUUGCUAGUUUUUAAUUUUUCCCAUUAGUUAAUGCAGUUUCUUUAUAGUGUCAAUGGUCUUUACAAUUUGGUAUGUUUUUGUAGUGGCUGGUACUGGUUGUUCCUUUCCACAUUUAGUGCUUACUUCAGGAGCUCUUGUAACGCAAGAAUGUGGAUUUAUUUCUGGUAAGGUAAAUAAGUGGAUUUAUUUCUCAGUGCUGUAUUCUAUGUCCUUUACCCCAAGAAUCAUUACUUUUUAAAAUGCAAUUCAAAUUAGCAUAAAACAUUUACAGCCUAGGAAAAGGCUUGUGGCAUUAGAAUACUUAUUUAUAGGAUUAUUUUGUUUUUUUUUGAGAUAUGGUCGUUGUCAUCCAGGCAGAAGUGCAGUGGUUUGAUCAUAAUUCACCACAGCCCUGAACUCUGAGUCCAAGCCAUCCUUUUGCCUUAAUCUCCCAACUAGUUGGAUCUACAAGCA